UUAGAUUGACGGAUAUAUAUAUAUACAUAUGUGGAUAUAUUCGAUAUUCAGAUAUUCGAUUGUCGAUUCGGGUUGAGUGCAGUGCGUUGUGCGUUGAUUCGACUCGACUUAAGGCUAAAACACAAUAAUUAAAA